rnacentral:tRNA from 1 species
GGCAAGAUGGCCGAGUGGUUAAGGCGUGUGACUCAAGUUAUUUCUUAACUUCCUAAUUCUCAUGGGCGAAUGUCCGCGUGGGUUCAAAUCCCACUCUUGUCA